rnacentral:rRNA from 1 species
AGUGAACGCUGGCGGCGUGCUUAACACAUGCAAGUCGAACGAGAACGGGUUAUAGCUUGCUAUAAUUGUCAGCUAAGUGGCGCACGGGUGAGUAAUGUAUAGGUAAUAUGCCUCUUACUAAGGGAUAACAGAUGGAAACGUUUGCUAAUACCUUAUACUCCUUAUUAACAGAAGUUAAUAAGGGAAAGAUUUAUUGGUAAGAGAUUAGCCUGUAUUGUAUCAGUUAGUUGGUGGGGUAAUGGCUUACCAAGACUAUGACACAUAACUGGUUUGGGAGGAUGAGCAGUCACACUGGAACUGAGACACGGUCCAGACUCCUACGGGAGGCAGCAGUGGGGAAUAUUGCACAAUGGACGAAAGUCUGAUGCAGCAACGCCGCGUGGAGGAUGACACAUUUCGGUGCGUAAACUCCUUUUAUAUGAGAAGAUAAUGACGGUAUUAUAUGAAUAAGCACCGGCUAACUCCGUGCCAGCCGCCGCGGUAA